rnacentral:rRNA from 1 species
AAUCCCCGGGCUCAACCUGGGAAUGGCAAUGGAUACUGGAUAGCUAGAGUGUGGUAGAGGAUGGUGGAAUUCCCGGUGUAGCGGUGAAAUGCGUAGAGAUCGGGAGGAACAUCAGUGGCGAAGGCGGCCAUCUGGAUCAACAGACGCUGAGGCACGAAAGCGUGGGGAGCAAACAGGAUUAGAUACCCUGGUAGUCCACGCCCUAAACGAUGCGAACUGGAUGUUGGUCUCAACUCGGAGAUCAGUGUCGAAGCUAACGCGUUAAGUUCGCCGCCUGGGGAGUACGGUCGCAAGACUGAAACUCAAAGGAAUUGACGGGGGCCCGCACAAGCGGUGGAGUAUGUGGUUUAAUUCGAUGCAACGCGAAGAACCUUCCCUGCCUUGG